rnacentral:tRNA from 1 species
GCCGUGGCCUACUGGUUAGCGCUUCGGACUUGUAACCGGAGGGUUGCGGGUUCGAACCCUGACCAGUAGGCA